rnacentral:rRNA from 1 species
UACGUAGGGGGCGAGCGUUGUCCGGAAUUACUGGGCGUAAAGGGCGCGUAGGCGGCCCGCUAAGUCUGUUGUGAAAGACCGAGGCUCAACCUCGGGACGUCAACGGAGACUGGUGGGCUCGAGUGUCGGAGAGGAGCGGGGAAUCCCUGGUGUAGCGGUGGAAUGCGUAGAGAUCAGGGGGAACACCGAUGGCGAAGGCACCGCUCUGGCCGAACACUGACGCUGAGGCGCGAAAGCGUGGGGAGCGAACGGG